GAGCCAUUAGCUCAGUUGGUAGAGCAUCUGACUUUUAAUCAGAGGGUCGCGGGUUCGAAUCCCCUAUGGCUCACCA
rnacentral:tRNA from 1 species